AUCAUCAGAUGGAAAUGAAUGGAAUCGUCAUAGAAUGGAAUCGAAUGGAUUCAUUGAAUGGAAUCAGAUGGAAUCUUCGAAUGGACUGGAAUGGAAUCAUUGAAUGGACUCGAAAGGGAUCAUUAUUGAAUGGAAUUGAAUGGAAUCAUCGAAUGGUCUCGAUUGGAAUCAUUAUCAAAUGGAAUCGAAUGGAAUCACCGAAUAGAAUCGAAUGGAACAAUCAUCGAAUGGACUCAAAUGAAAUUAUCCUCAAGUGGAAUCGAAUGGAAUUAUCGAAUGCAAUCGAAUGGAAUUAUCGAAUGCAAUCGAAUAGAAUCAUCGAAUGGACUCGAAUGGAAUCAUCGAAUGGAAUGGAAUGGAACAGUCAAUGAACUCGAAUGGAAUCAUCAUUGAAUGGAAUCGAAUGGAAUCAUCGAGUGGAAUCGAAUGGAAUUAUGAUCAAAUGGAAUCGAAUGUAAUCAUCAUCAAAUGGAAUCAAAAAUAACCAUCAUCAAUUGGUAUUCAAUGGAAUUGUCAUCAAAUGGAAUUCAAAGGAAUCAUCAUCAAAUGGAACUGAAUGGAAUCCUCAUUGAAUGGAAAUGAAAGGGGUCAUCAUCUAAUGGAAUCGCAUGGAAUUAUCAUCGAAUGGAAUCGAAUGGAAUCAACAUCCAACGGAAAAAAACGGAAUUAUCGAAUGGAAUCGAAGAGAAUCAUCGAACGGACCCGAAUGGAAUCAUCUAAUGGAAUGGAAUGGAAUAAUCCAUGGACUCGAAUGCAAUCAUCAUCGAAUGGAAUCGAAUGGAAUCAUCGAAUGGACUCGAAAGGAAUCAUCAUUGAACGGAAUCGAAUGGAAU
rnacentral:lncRNA from 1 species